GCGUUAAUCGGAAUUACUGGGCGUAAAGCGUGCGCAGGCGGUUUUGUAAGACAGGCGUGAAAUCCCCGGGCUUAACCUGGGAAUUGCGCUUGUGACUGCAAAGCUGGAGUGCGGCAGAGGGGGAUGGAAUUCCGCGUGUAGCAGUGAAAUGCGUAGAUAUGCGGAGGAACACCGAUGGCGAAGGCAAUCCCCUGGGCCUGCACUGACGCUCAUGUACGAAAGCGUG
rnacentral:rRNA from 1 species